UAACGAGAUCAUAACAUUUGAACAAGAAUAUAUAUACAUAAAGACCAGGC
rnacentral:misc_RNA from 1 species